rnacentral:rRNA from 1 species
CCUACGGGGGGCUGCAGUGGGGAAUAUUGGACAAUGGGGGCAACCCUGAUCCAGCCAUGCCGCGUGUGUCAAGAAGGCCCUCGGGUUGUAAAGCACUUUCAGUGAGGAAGAACGCCUGGUGGUUAAUACCCAUCAGGAAAGACAUCACUCACAGAAGAAGCACCGGCUAACUCCGUGCCAGCAGCCGCGGUAAUACGGAGGGUGCGAGCGUUAAUCGGAAUUACUGGGCGUAAAGCGCGCGUAGGUGGCUUGAUAAGCCGGUUGUGAAAGCCCCGGGCUCAACCUGGGAACGGCAUCCGGAACUGUCAAGCUAGAGUGCAGGAGAGGAAGGUAGAAUUCCCGGUGUAGCGGUGAAAUGCGUAGAGAUCGGGAGGAAUACCAGUGGCGAAGGCGGCCUUCUGGACUGACACUGACACUGAGGUGCGAAAGCGUGGGUAGCAAACAGGAUUAGAUACCCUAGUAGUC